CACCGCGGUUAAACGAGAGGCCCUAGUUAAUAAUGCACGGCGUAAAGGGUGGUUAAGGGAAGCAUAAUAAUAAAGCCGAAUGGCCCUUUGGCUGUCAUACGCUUCUAGGUGUCCGAAGCCCAAUUAUACGAAAGUAGCUUUAAUAGAGCCCACCUGACCCCACGAAAGCUGAGAAA
rnacentral:rRNA from 1 species